AUACGUAGGGAGCGAGCGUUGUCCGGAAUUACUGGGUGUAAAGGGUGCGUAGGCGGGACUGCAAGUCAGAUGUGAAAUGCCGGGGCUCAACCCCGGAGCUGCAUUUGAAACUGUGGUUCUUGAGUGAGGUAGAGGUAAGCGGAAUUCCUAGUGUAGCGGUGAAAUGCGUAGAUAUUAGGAGGAACAUCGGUGGCGAAGGCGGCUUACUGGGCCUUUACUGACGCUGAGGCACGAAAGCGUGGGGAGCAAACAGGAUUAGAUACCCUGGUAGUCCACGCUGUAAACGAUGAUGACUAGGUGUGGGGGGACUGAACCCUUCCGUGCCGCAGUUAACACAAUAAGUCAUCCACCUGGGGAGUACGGCCGCAAGGUUGAAACUUAAAGGAAUUGACGGGG
rnacentral:rRNA from 1 species